rnacentral:rRNA from 1 species
UGGGGAAUAUUGCACAAUGGGCGAAAGCCUGAUGCAGCAACGCCGCGUGAGGGAUGACGGCCUUCGGGUUGUAAACCUCUUUUGGCAGGGAAGAAGCGAAAGUGACGGUACCUGCAGAAAAAGCACCGGCUAACUACGUGCCAGCAGCCGCGGUAAUACGUAGGGUGCAAGCGUUGUCCGGAAUUAUUGGGCGUAAAGAGCUCGUAGGCGGUUUGUCGCGUCUGCUGUGAAAACGCAAGGCUCAACCUUGCGCCUGCAGUGGGUACGGGCAGACUAGAGUGUGGUAGGGGAGAUUGGAAUUCCUGGUGUAGCGGUGGAAUGCGCAGAUAUCAGGAGGAACACCGAUGGCGAAGGCAGAUCUCUGGGCCAUUACUGACGCUGAGGAGCGAAAGCGUGGGGAGCGAACAG